GACGAACGCUGGCGGCGUGCUUAACACAUGCAAGUCGAACGGAAAGGCCUGCUUUCCCUUGUGGAUUGCGGGUACUCGAGUGGCGAACGGGUGAGUAACACGUGAGUGAUCUGCCCCCAACUUGGGUAUAAGCCUGGGAAACUGGGUCUAAUUCCCGAUAGGACUGCAGGGUGGUGCCUGUGGUGGAAAACGAUUUUCUAGUGGUUGGGGAUGAGCUCGCGGCCUAUCAGCUUGUUGGUGGGGUAAUGGCCUACCAAGGCGGCGACGGGUAGCCGGCCUGAGAGGGUGGACGGCCACAGUGGCACUGAGAUACGGCCCAGACUCCUACGGGAGGCAGCAGUGGGGAAUAUUGCACAAUGGGCGGAAGCCUGAUGCAGCGACGCCGCGUGGGGGAUGACGGCCUUCGGGUUGUAAACUCCUUUCGACCGCGAGGAAGCCACCUGGUUGGAAGGGUGGUGACGGUAGUGGUAGAAGAAGCACCGGCUAACUACGUG
rnacentral:rRNA from 1 species